UACGAAGGUCCCUAGCGUUGUUCGGAAUUAUUGGGCGUAAAGCGCUUGUAGGUGGCUUUGCAAGUUGGGUGUGAAAGCCCCGGGCUCAACCCGGGAAGUGCACUCAAAACUGCUUAGCUUGAGUACGGUAGAGGUGAGUGGAAUACCUGGUGUAGUGGUGAAAUACGUAGAUAUCAGGUGGAACACCCGUAGCGAAGGCGGCACUCUGGGCCGUGACUGACGCUGAGGAGCGAAAGCGUGGGGAGCAAACAGG
rnacentral:rRNA from 1 species